rnacentral:misc_RNA from 1 species
AAUGCAAUUAUUGAGAUUGUGUAAGUAAACUUCAACCUCAUGAAGAGCAUCAGGUGAUAACAUUAUCAAUUAUUGUCAUAUUUCAAUCUAGGUUAAUAGUAUGUUUCUCAGUGAAGUGGUGUCAGUUGAAACAUCACAUUUCACUAAAAACCCUUGACCCUAAUAAACUCAAUCCACUUCUUGAUACUAUCUAAAACAUGGUUUUAAAAAUGGACAUUUUAUAAUAUAAUAGAUUUCAUAAUGCUUUUUUGGCUGAUCAUUUCAUUGCUUCAAUUAUGAACAUUACACCAAUUAUGGAUGGUUAAUUUUUUCCUUGCCCCUUAUUUUAGCAAGCUACUUCUCUCUAAAAAAGUUUUAAGUGCUGGCCACAACCAUUGCACUUCUGGCUGCAACAGUCUGGUAUUGAAAUUACAAUUUAAAGCCUUGAUCUGAAG